rnacentral:rRNA from 1 species
UACGUAGGGUGCAAGCGUUAAUCGGAAUUACUGGGCGUAAAGCGUGCGCAGGCGGUUGUGCAAGACAGAUGUGAAAUCCCCGGGCUCAACCUGGGAAUGGCGAUGGAGACUGCAAGGCUAGAGUUUGGCAGAGGGGGGUAGAAUUCCACGUGUAGCAGUGAAAUGCGUAGAUAUGUGGAGGAACACCGAUGGCGAAGGCAGCCCCCUGGGUCAAAACUGACGCUCAUGCACGAAAGCGUGGGGAGCAAACAGG